rnacentral:rRNA from 1 species
UACGUAGGGGGCAAGCGUUGUCCGGAAUUAUUGGGCGUAAAGCGCGCGCAGGCGGCUUCUUAAGUCAGGUGUUUAAUCCCGGGGCUCAACCCUGGUACGCACUUGAAACUGGGGAGCUUGAGUGCAGGAGAGGAGAGCGGAAUUCCAUGUGUAGCGGUGAAAUGCGUAGAGAUGGGGAGGAACACCAGUGGCGAAGGCGGCCUUCUGGACCAAUACUGACGCUCAUGCACGAAAGCGUGGGGAGCAAACAGG